rnacentral:misc_RNA from 1 species
CAUCUCUAGCAUGGACCUUUUAAAGUCCUCAUAAGGAUCCUCUGAUUUCUUCACCACCGGCACGCUCUCCUUCACCUUCCCAUCAGCCUUGCAUGAUACCAUCCGCCGCAGAACGGAUGCCCCCAUUGGAGAAGUAAUCUCCGGAGACGACAACUUCCAGUUCUUGGAAACCUGCCGUUUGAGUUUUUGAAUUCUCAUUUUAUUUGAUUUCUUGUUUCCGUUGUCUGUUUUCUUGGUUGUGGUAUACACAACCGGAUGACAGUAAUCAUAC